UACAGAGGGGGCUAGCGUUGUUCGGAAUUACUGGGCGUAAAGGGCGCGUAGGUGGCCCGACAAGUCCGUGGUGAAAGCUCGACGCUCAACGUCGAGUCGGCCAUGGAUACUGUUGGGCUGGAGCACUGUAGAGGCUCAUGGAAAUUCCGGGUGUAGCGGUGGAAUGCGUAGAUAUCGAGAGGAACACCUGCGGCGAAGGCGGGUAGCUGGGCCGACACUGACGCUGAGGCGCGAAAGCCAGGGGAGCGAACGGG
rnacentral:rRNA from 1 species